rnacentral:lncRNA from 12 species
UUCUAAGGUCUGCGAUUCUGUGAGCUGAUCUGAGGUGACAACCACUGGCUUGAUCCCGCCUCUCCUGGGCACACAGACUGGCCUUGCAGCCCCCCUGCAGUUGGGCGAGGCCACGGUGAGCUCUGGCCCAGGUGGUGAGUGGAAGUGACGCAGGCCCCUGCAGGCCCCGCUAGGAAAGCUCCCACGGAACCCUCCACAUCCUUCCUUCCAUCUCCCUUUCCUGACUGAAAGGACAGGAUGCCGAGGCCUACUGCCGACCAUGGGCUGAGCCUCCAGGAGGAGCUGAGGCCCUGAUGAGCGCCGGAAAGGUGGUCCAGCCAGGAGUGUGAGCAGGAGCAGAUCUUCUAUUGCGUAAAGCGCUGAGACGUCAUGUUUUAUCUAACUUGGCAGCUAGCAGUUUGGGGCAGAUGAGAAGGCAGUGCUUUAUGUGCUGCACCAAUGCUGGUCUGGCAGCAGCUGGCCAUGUCCCAGGAGCUGAGGAUGGGGCUGACCCGGAGAGAUGGACUGAGCCAGUAAGACCCCAAAUCCUGAAGAAAGACUCAAUUUAUCAGCCUUUGUGACCCCAGACCUAACGUCCUCCCUUGUUGGCUGAAUUCCUUAUGUAGAGCCGGUCAGCCUGAGAUGGGCUCUGGAGGGUGUCCCUUCACCUGAGGAAGGCCAGUGGUUAAGGAUUCUGGCUCUGAGUCAGUCCUCGCUUGGUUGCCUCUUGACUACCUGUGUGGUUUGGGCAAGCUAUUAACCUCCUCGCCUCAGUUUCUUCAUCUGUAAAAUAGGGGUAUUUGGUGUACUUGGGAGAAAGAAGAUAGUGCAGUUAAAUGCCUGAUGCGCAGUAUCUUGACAAAAUAG